UAAAGUUUUCAAUUAGCAAUAAUCGCGCCUCGGAUAAACCUCAUAGGCUACGAUACUGCCACUGCGCAAAGCUGACGUACCUACUGCCAGAGAGGAGACGUCACCAAACAACCCAGCAGUUCCCUCGACGACCCUGCUGUUACCAAAGCCAGAGUGUGUUUUCUUAGGAUAACUUUUUCAUUGAUAUCUCUCAGGAUCCACAAGGGUCAGCGUCUCCCCAGCGGCGAGCUUGACAUACAUCUGACUGCUGUUAUGCUCAGUGAACCAUAGUAUAUUAUUAAAUAGAGACUUGGAAGAUGUCCUGGGAAGUCCUACCUUCAAAAACAUCCACCAUGUUGAAGAAGGCCAGAGACAGCGAAGACUUUCCACUGCCCGUUCUACCACAGAUGCCCACCUGCGACAGGUCUUCCAGUGCUCAUAGAGUUCCACAUCAUGAGUCUGGAUAUCCUUUAACGUUCCCUCUCUCAGCACUGAACCGUCCUUCAUGGCUAUUAUCUACCACACAGAGAAAAGCAUCAUGAAGAACCAGCCUCGAAAUGUUCAAGAUCAUCAGUCAGCAAAGAAACCCAAAUAGUUACCCAGUCAGCAUGGAUAAGGUACUGCAGCUUAUGAGUGACCAAGACCACCGUCCGUUUGUCAUCCUGAAGGAACUUGAGUAUCCCUUCUUGCAUCAGAUGAUCACUGAGGUGGAUGUCCAGGGCAGAGAAUGGGUCAUCCUAUAGAGAACAGCUGAGGGCCACUGCACUGACCAGAGAGAGAAGCUUCUCUUCAAACACAUUUAUGAGAUCUCGGUUUGGCUAAGGAAUGACCAGCUCCCGUUUCAGCCCCAUAAACAUGACUGUGUGGAGUCUCAUGUUUGCUGUUAUUGGAGGUCAUAAGGUGUGUUAUUACAUCAAGUUUAUCUCAGUUUGAAUCAAUGUUUUUAUGUAUACUUUACAGACACAAAUACAAGAGCUUUGAAAAUAUUUGAUGCCACAAUUGACUUCAGUCGCUCUACUUAUAAAACCAUCCCUGGUUAUUUAACUAAGUGAGAAACUCAAGUGUUGAAAUUAUGUAAUGAAAUGUCAAAAAUUAUGUUAAAUUGUGUAGUUUGUUGAGGAGAACUGUACUAUUAUUUUUCUGAGCUAUCAAAUUUAGGAUUUUCAGCUGGCAGACAAUAAAAUGCAUUAAAAAUAUCCCUAUAUACUUAAAUUAAAAUAUUAAUCAGUCACACAGAAAUGCCCUAACAACUGCAACAUGCUAAAAGCCACUGAAAACACCCCUGCAUUUUCAUCAGAAAUGUUAAAAAAUGUAUUUUACAUUAAAAUACAUUUUUAAUA